rnacentral:rRNA from 1 species
UACGUAGGGGGGCAAGCAUUGUCCGGAAUCAUUGGGCGUAAAGAGCGUGUAGGCGGUUCAGUAAGUCUGCUGUGAAAGUCCAGGGCUCAACCCUGGGAUGCCGGUGGAUACUGCUGGGCUAGAGUACGGGAAGAGGCGAGUGGAAUUCCCGGUGUAGCGGUGAAAUGCGCAGAUAUCGGGAGGAACACCUAUUGCGAAGGCAGCUCGCUGGGACGUUACUGACGCUGAGACGCGAAAGCGUGGGGAGCAAACAGG